AUGGUCACCAAGGUAAAAUCAUGUGAGUCUCAUGUGGAUAUUAGCACAUCUUCUACUCGAAAUGCCCUAUUGCCAUGUGCUAGUCCUUGCAAUUCCUAUCUACAUGAUAUUGGUACAUCUUGUGAUGAAUUGCUCACCAUGCCUUGUUGCUCUAACAAUGAAGCGUCUACUUCCUCUAGUUCUUUUGUUAAUACUAACCUUAUAGAGGAAAAUAAAGAGCUCAAGGUCCAAGUCACUAGUUUGAAGAAGGACUUGGAAAAAUGUUGUAGUAAUAUAUUGAGUGUGCAAAAGGACCCUCAAGACAAAAUAGGACUUUAUUUCAUCUCCAAUAAGAAGAAGUCCAAGAACAAGAAGAAGGGACAAGAUCAAGUCAAGAAUUCGGCCAACAUUACUUUCUUCAAGUGGAAGAAUGUUGGACACCAUGUGAGAUCUUGUCCAUUGAAGAAGAAGGCUUAA
rnacentral:rRNA from 1 species